UACGUAGGGUGCAAGCGUUGUCCGGAAUUAUUGGGCGUAAAGAGCUCGUAGGCGGUUUGUCGCGUCUGCUGUGAAAACUCGGGGCUUAACCCUGGGCCUGCAGUGGGUACGGGCAGACUAGAGUGCGGUAGGGGAGACUGGAAUUCCUGGUGUAGCGGUGAAAUGCGCAGAUAUCAGGAGGAACACCGGUGGCGAAGGCGGGGCUCUGGGCCGUAACUGACGCUGAGGAGCGAAAGCGUGGGGAGCGAACAGG
rnacentral:rRNA from 1 species